GUUCUAUUUCUUAGAUCCUGAAAACCAACCGAGUUAAUCUCAUAAAGAAAAUGAAGAAAGAAGCUGGCGUUUACCGUAGUUGGAAAAUGAAAAAAGAUGUGGAAGUUAACAAGCUUCUACAGAAUGACCGAAAAAGACAAUUUGAAAUCCAAAAGCUACAAAGAGCUCAAGAAAAGCAGCAGGCCAUACUUAAAAGGAAAUCUGAAGAGGCUGCAGUUGCAAACAAAAGAUUAAAAGAGGCAUUAAAGAAGCAAGCUCUUGUCAGGAAUGAUCGCAACAAUAAUUUUGAAAGAUAUGACGCUAGUGCAAAUGCAACAAAAUUAAAGACACUAUUGGAACAAGAAUUGGAAGUGAAAGUUCGAGUCCAGGAAGCAAAAUACCACUUAAAGAAUUUGGUUGAAGACCGAAAAACUUUGUCUUUGGAGUUGAGGCGCUUGAAAAAUUCAGAUCCACCUACAAAGAAACGUAUAACAACUGAUGGUGAUGGCAGUCCAAAGGAGGUGAACAUUAGUAUCAUAAAGUUAACUGAUGAAAUUAAUGACAGAAAUGUUCAAAUUGCCACUCUUCAAUCAGAAAUCCAAGAGGCAGAAAAUGAUAAAUUCAAAGGAUGUGUUGAAACAAUCCGUAGCAUCAACGAUUCUAAAGUUCUUUUGAACUUUUUAAUUGAGAAGAGUAUCAAAGAACGGAUUGACCACAAUAAUGACAAGUCUACUGUAAAAGACCUUAAAAAUAAUUAUGUGGAAGCUAUCAAAGAGAAAGACUCAAGUGAAAUGAAAGUGAAAUCAUUACAAAAUCAGCAUGAAUCAAGUCUUGUGGACUUGCAGCAGAAAUAUGAAAGCAAGAUAUCGUUUUUACUAAAACAACUGCAAAAUGGGUCAGAGGAAGAAGAGAGCCCAGUGCCAAAUGGUGUACACGGAGCACAUAAUACCUUUUUUGUUCCUGACACUCUAGAUGUUUUAGAUAAUGACCCAGACUAUCACCCUGAUAGCUCGAUGGAAUUCGACACACCUUAUAUGAAAGUGACCUAGAAACAAGCAAAACCUUUGAAAAGUUGCAGGUGUUUACUCAGUAAAUGCAAAUCCAAAGUUUGCCCAUGUUUCAAGAAGACAGCGUUCUGUUUGCCUUCAUGUUCUUGUGCUAAUUGUGAAAAUAAGCCGACAUCUGUAUUUGACUCAUCCACCAGCGAUGUGGACAACGAAAAUGAAGACAGACUGAUAGAAUAAGUACUAGAAUCGAUUCAGUCAACUAAAAAUUCUUCAAAGCAGUGCCCCAGCAUGGCCACAGUCUAAUGAUUGAAACAAGUAAAAGAU